rnacentral:rRNA from 1 species
UGGCUCGAGGACGAACGCUGGCGGCGUGCUUAACACAUGCAAGUCGAACGGUAAGGCCCUUCGGGGUACACGAGUGGCGAACGGGUGAGUAACACGUGGGUGAUCUGCCCUGCACUUCGGGAUAAGCCUGGGAAACUGAGUCUAAUACCGGAUAGGACCAUGGACUUCACGGUUUGUGGUGGAAAGCUUUUGCGGUGUGGGAUGGGCCCGCGGCCUAUCAGCUUGUUGGUGGGGUAAUGGCCUACCAAGGCGACGACGGGUAGCCGGCCUGAGAGGGUGUCCGGCCACACUGGGACUGAGAUACGGCCCAGACUCCUACGGGAGGCAGCAGUGGGGAAUAUUGCACAAUGGGCGCAAGCCUGAUGCAGCGACGCCGCGUGAGGGAUGACGGCCUUCGGGUUGUAAACCUCUUUCAAUAGGGACGAAGCGCAAGUGGCGGUACCUAUAGAAGAAGCACCGGCCAACUACGUG